GCCUUCGUGGUGUAAUGGUCAGCACAUUCGGCUCGUGUUCGAUAGGUCCGUGGUUCGAGUCCCGACGAGGACA
rnacentral:tRNA from 1 species